GAUGAACGCUGGCGGCGUGCUUAACACAUGCAAGUCGAACGAAGCACCUUAUUCUGAUUUCUUCGGAAUGAAAAAUUUGGUGACUGAGUGGCGGACGGGUGAGUAACGCGUGGGUAACCUGCCUCAUACAGGGGGAUAACAGUUAGAAAUGACUGCUAAUACCGCAUAAGACCACAGCACCGCAUGGUGCAAGGGUAAAAACUCCGGUGGUAUGAGAUGGACCCGCGUCUGAUUAGGUAGUUGGUGGGGUGACGGCCUACCAAAGCAACGAUCAGUAGCCGGCCUGAGAGGGUGAACGGCCACAUUGGGACUGAGACACGGCCCAAACUCCUACGGGAGGCAGCAGUGGGGAAUAUUGCACGAUGGGGGAAACCCUGAUGCAGCGACUCCGCGUGAGUGAAGAAGUUAUUCGUAACGUAAAGCUCUAUCGGCAGGGAAGAAAAUGACGGUACCUGACUAAGAAGCCCCGGCUAACUACGUGCCAGCCGCCGCAGUAA
rnacentral:rRNA from 1 species